UGUGCUUGGGUGAGCGGCGGACGGGUUAGUACGCGUGGGAAUAUGCCCUUCUCUACGGAAUAGCCCAGGGAAACUUGGAUUAAUACCGUAUACGCCCUUCGGGGGAAAGAUUUAUCGGAGAGGGAUUAGCCCGCGUUGGAUUAGGUAGUUGGUGGGGUAAUGGCCUACCAAGCCGACGAUCCAUAGCUGGUUUGAGAGGAUGAUCAGCAACACUGGGACUGAGACACGGCCCAGACUCCUACGGGAGGCAGCAGUGGGGAAUCUUAGACAAUGGGGGAAACCCUGAUCUAGCCAUGCCGCGUGAGCGAUGAAGGCCCUAGGGUUGUAAAGCUCUUUCGCCAGGGAUGAUAAUGACAGUACCUGGUAAAGAAGUCCCGGCUAACUCCGUGCCAGCAGCCGCGGUAAUACGGAGGGGACUAGCGUUGUUCGGAAUUACUGGGCGUAAAGCGCACGUAGGCGGACCGAAAAGUUGGGGGUGAAAUCCCAGGGCUCAACCCUGGAACUGCCUCCAAAACUGCCGGUCUAGAGUUCGAGAGAGGUGAGUGGAAUUCCGAGUGUAGAGGUGAAAUUCGUAGAUAUUCGGAGGAACACCAGUGGCGAAGGCGGCUCACUGGCUCGAUACUGACGCUGAGGUGCGAAAGCGUGGGGAG
rnacentral:rRNA from 1 species